UGUCACCAAUAAUGCACAUGCUGAAGAUGCCAAAUGGAGAUGAGAGGCCCUGGAGGAUGAGAAGUCACAUGGAGGAGAACUGAGGCACGUCAGCCAACAGCCAGCACCAAAGGCUGGCCAUAUGCCAAAGAGGACUCACAAGGAGCUUGCCAGACAGACCCAGCUUUAGCGAAGGAAAGUGCUUACAAAGCAAGGAAAGGAAGAAGCAGUUCUUCUGAGGACUUCAAUUAAUGUUAAAAAGAAGGAAAAGAGUUGACAAGCAAUUUUCAGGGUUGGCAGAGGUUUAAGGAAAUUCUUUGGGGAGGCCCCUGCAAAGUCAGUCUUCUAAAAUGUGAAUGGUGUUGAUGGAAAAAGCUGAAGUGCUUUUUUGAGCAUGAAUUGGACUAUCACCACGUGGAUAACGUGGCCCAGUAACAGGAGACCUAUGGUAGUCACAUGGGAACCUGUGUUAGUUUGUCUCUGAGACUCUAUGCAUAGUCUCGUUUGAAGAUUACGGUCGGAAGUCUAAAUCUGAAGCUCUUUGUGAAAAUGAAGUUUGAGCGAAAGGCACUCCUGCCAGAUACUGAAUCUGCUGAUCUUAUGAUCUUGGACUUCCUGGCUUUCAGGCUGUAAGAAACAAAUGUUUGUUGCUGGUAACCCACCAAGUUUAAGGUAAUUUUGUUAUAGCAGCCAAAACGGACUCAGACAAUGGAUGUUUGUGUCGUUUCUAGUUUCCAGGGCUGUGGCUGACACCCUUUCAGUAUCUCUUUGUGCUCAUGCAUGAGAGAUUCUUCAGAGUACAUAACAAGAAGUGGAAUUACUGGGUCACAGAGAAUAUCGAUUUUCAGAACUGCUUGGUAUUGCCAAAUGAUUCUUAAAGAGGCUGCAUAAGGUUAUACUGAAGGCAGCUAUUUUUAGAGCUUACAUUUUACACUCAUAUCUUUGCCCUGGGUCCUCACGUAGACAAUGUCAUGCACUCACCUUUAGAAAUCUUCUAA